rnacentral:rRNA from 1 species
AGAGUUGUCCUGCGGGGCGAUGUGACGGUACCGAAUGAAUAAACACCGGCUAACUCCAUGCCAGCAGCCGCGGUAAUACGGAGGGUGCGAGCGUUGUCCGGAUUUAUUGGGUUUAAAGGGUGCGUAGGUGGCUUGAUAAGUCAGUGGUGAAAUACAACCGCUCAACUGUUGAGGUGCCAUUGAUACUGUCAAGCUUGAAACAAGUGGAGGCUGCCGGAAUGGAUGGUGUAGCGGUGAAAUGCAUAGAUAUCAUCCAGAACACCGAUCGCGAAGGCAGGUGGCUACGUUUGAUUUGACACUGAGGCACGAAAGCAUGGGGAGCAAACAGGAUUAGAUACCCUGGUAGUCCAUGCUGUAAACGAUGAGGACUCGCUGUUGGUCAUUUAUGGUCAGCGGCUUAGGGAAACCGUUAAGUCCUCCACCUGGGGAGUAC